CUGUUUCAUGCUGUUCUCUUUGAGGUUCACUCCAAUGCCACCAGAAAGUGGAGGCUGCAUUCUCACUCUCCCCCAUUUACAAAGGAAGAGGCUGAGGCACUGAGGACCUGUUUUGUGUGGGUUAGAAGAGACCUCAGGGUUAGAAGUGACCUCUCCUGCUCCCUUGGGGAUCUGCCCACUCCUUCCUUACAGCUUUCAUGGCUCUGCCCUCAGGCCCCUCCCACUGACCUGUGGGUUCCUCCAGGCCAGGGCACCGUAUCUCCAGCACCAGUCCUUAAGGACACCGGAGAAGUGGUUUCAUUUUGCUCAAUGAAGUAGGCCAAAGGGCAGGGGUGGAGCUCUGUGGUAGAGCAUGCACUGAGGAUGCGAAAGGCCCUGCGUGGGUUUUAUCUCCAGCGUGGCAAAAGUGUGCCUGUGGCCAGAGGCCUGGGGCUGCAGAGAUGGCAGUAGGUAAGGUCUCGGUGCUGGUUGGCUCUUUGUCAACUUGACACAAGCUUGAGUCACCUCACUUGAGAAAAAUGCCUCCAUUGGAUUGGCUUGUGGGUUCUGGGAUUAUGGACUUUGAAUCUCUUCCUAUGUUCCCCUUCUCUGCAGAACCCUGGCUCUCACUACAUCUGAAAAUAUGAUGAGUGCCCACACUCAUGUGUCAGACACACAAUCCACCAAUAGUAAAAUGCACCUUCCAUUCUCUCCUGGAGACCAGGCCGGCCUUGAACCGGGAGAUCCGCCUGCCUCUGCCUCCUGAGUACUGAGACUAAAGGUGUGCGCCACCAACGCCCUGUGCUCCACACGCUUGGUGCAGCUUCCUUCCCUCACCCUACUUACUGUUCCCUGGGAGACUGGCUAGUCCUGGCUUAGUCCCAAGAGCUUCCUGGGAACUUGCUGUCCCAGGAAAUCUUUCUUUCUCCAGUUGUCAUUCGCUCUAAGGCUUUCCCUCUGGGGAUGGAAGCAGGGAAUCAGCUAAUCUUCCAUGAGAAGUCGAGACUUGCCAGCACUGCUCAGGCAACCUCAGGUCAAGCCAAUCUUUGAGCAGAGAAGCCAAACUGGCACUUCUAUCCUAGUUGUUAAAGCCCAGGCGGGGACUUGACGCCUGCCUACCUGUGCCCUUCCAGACACCCCUACAGUCACCAGCCACACUCAAAAUCCCAGACCUUUUAGAAGUGCUUUGUUCCUGAAUGGAAGGUUUGAUCACAAACCCCAAGUCCUGAUUAAAGAGUAUCUGGGAAAGGAACUGUAAGCAGGUGUUUCAUUCAGAUAU
rnacentral:lncRNA from 1 species